GCCAGUGAUAAACUGGAGGAAGGUGGGGACGACGUCAAGUCAUCAUGGCCCUUACGACCAGGGCUACACACGUGCUACAAUGGCGCAUACAAAGAGAAGCGACCUCGCGAGAGCAAGCGGACCUCAUAAAGUGCGUCGUAGUCCGGAUUGGAGUCUGCAACUCGACUCCAUGAAGUCGGAAUCGCUAGUAAUCGUGGAUCAGAAUGCCACGGUGAAUACGUUCCCGGGCCUUGUACACACCGCCCGUCACACCAUGGGAGUGGGUUGCAAAAGAAGUAGGUAGCUUAACCUUCGGGAGGGCGCUUACCACUUUGUGAUUCAUGACUGGGGUGAAGUCGUAACAAGGUAACCGUAGGGGAACCUGCGGUUGGAUCACCUCCUUACCUUAAAGAAGC
rnacentral:rRNA from 1 species